rnacentral:misc_RNA from 1 species
UGUGGGAGCGAGCUUGCUCGCGAAGGCGUCGGGUCAGCGUGUAUCAAUGUUGAAUGUCGGACCGCUAUCGCGAGCAAGCUCGCUCCCACA